UUAGCAUGGAAUAAUGAAAUAGGACGAUGGUUCUAUUUUGUUGGUUUCCGGGACCGUCGUAAUGAUUAAUAGGGAUAGUUGGGGGCAUUCGUAUUCAAUUGUCAGAGGUGAAAUUCUUGGAUUUAUUGAAGACGGACUACUGCGAAAGCAUUUGCCAAGGAUGUUUUCAUUAAUCAAGAACGAAAGUUGGGGGAUCGAAGACGAUCAGAUACCGUCGUAGUCUCAACCAUAAACUAUGCCGACUGGGAAUCGGACGAUGUUAUUUUUUGUGACUCGUUCGGCGCCCCGAG
rnacentral:rRNA from 1 species